CUGGGGCUUACAUGCAAGUCGAACGGUAAGGCCCCUUCGGGGGUACAAGUGGCGAACGGGUGAGUAACACGUGGGUGAUCUGCCCUGCACUCUGGGAUAAGCCUGGGAAACGGGUCUAAUACCGGAUAUGACUCCUGCGCAUGGCGGGGGGGAAAGGUUUACGGGAGGUGGGCCCCGGCCUUCGCUUGUGGGGGGUAUGGCCUACCAAGGCGAACGGGUAGCCGGCCUGAAGGGCGACCGGCCCCUGGGACUGAACCGGCCCAACUCCUACGGGAGGAGCAGUGGGGAAUAUUGCACAAUGGGCGAAAGCCUGAUGCGCGACCCCGUGAGGGAUGACGGCCUUCGGGUUGUAAACCUCUUUCGCAGGGAAAGCGAGAGGACGGUACCUGCAAAAACCCGGCCAACUCGUGCCAGCGCCGCGGUAAUACGUAGGGGCGAGCGUUGUCCGGAAUUACUGGGCGUAAAGAGCUCGUAGGCGGUUUGUCCGUCUCCGUGAAAACUUGGGGCUCAACCCCAAGCUUGCGCGAUACGGGCAGACUUGAGUACUGCAGGGGAGACUGGAAUUCCUGGUGUAGCGGUGAAAUGCGCAGAUAUCACGAGGAACACCGGUGGCGAAGGCGGGUCUGGGCAGGUGUCCCUGAGAGCGAAAGCGGGGUAGCGAACAGGAUUAGAUACCCUGGUAGUCCACGCCGUAACGUGGGCGCUAGUGUGGGUUUGCUUCCACGGCAUCGUGCGUAGCUACGCAUAGCGCCCCGCCUGGGUACGGCGCAGCUAAACUCAUGAUGACGGCGACAAGCGCGACUGAUUAUUCGAUGCAA
rnacentral:rRNA from 1 species